UACGAAGGUCCCAAGCGUUAUCCGGAUUUAUUGGGUUUAAAGGGUGCGUAGGCGGGUUAUUAAGUCAGUGGUGAAAGCCUUCAGCUUAACUGAAGAACUGCCAUUGAUACUGAUGAUCUUGAGUAUGAUUGAGGUGGGCGGAAUGUGUCAUGUAGCGGUGAAAUGCUUAGAUAUGACACAGAACACCGAUUGCGAAGGCAGCUCACUAAGCAAUAACUGACGCUGAUGCACGAAAGCGUGGGGAGCAAACCGG
rnacentral:rRNA from 1 species